rnacentral:rRNA from 1 species
GGUCAAGUUAUUAAGGGUGCAGGGCGGAUGCCUUGGCACUAGGAGCCGAUGAAGGACGUGAUAAGCUGCGAUAAGCUUCGGGGAGUUGCACGUAAACUUUGAUCCGAAGAUUUCCGAAUGAGGAAACUCACUUAGAGUAAUGUCUAAGUAUCAUUAAGUGAAUACAUAGCUUAAUGAGGGGAACUCAGGGAACUGAAACAUCUAAGUACCUGAAGGAAGAGAAAGAAAUUCGAUUCCGUAAGUAGCGGCGAGCGAACGCGGAUUAGCCCAAACCAAUAAAGUUUUCUUUAUUGGGGUUGCGGACAUAUCAUAACGAAGAGGUAUCGUAAUUGAAGAGGUUUGGAAAGACCCACCACAGAAGGUAAUAGUCCUGUAUGUUAAACGAGAAGACUUUAGAUAUGAUCCAGAGUACCACGGGACACGUGAAACCCUGUGGGAAGCAGGAGGGACCACCCUCCAAGGCUAAAUACUACCUAGUGACCGAUAGCGUAUAGUACCGUGAGGGAAAGGUGAAAAGAACC